CCGACACGGGGAGGUAGUGACAAUAAAUAACAAUAUAGGGCUCUUUCGGGUCUUAUAAUUGGAAUGAGUACAAUUUAAAUCCCUUAACGAGGAACAAUUGGAGGGCAAGUCUGGUGCCAGCAGCCGCGGUAAUUCCAGCUCCAAUAGCGUAUAUUAAAGUUGUUGCAGUUAAAAAGCUCGUAGUUGAACUUCAGGCCUGGCUGGGCGGUCCGCCUAACGGUGUGUACUGUCUGGCUGGGUCUUACUUCUUGGUGAGCCGGUGUGC
rnacentral:rRNA from 1 species